ACAUAACAUCCUUAUUAAACCACUAGCUAGAAUAAGAACUCAGCGUACGUACUCGCUAGACAUGCAAGAUUCUACUUACACACAAGUACCCACUAGAGAGACUGAAAACCUUUUUCCCAUAACCUCAUUACUCAGUCUUUUCUACUGGGGUUUCUGUUUCAACCUCCUCCACUGCUUCAACAGGUUUCUCUUCUCCCUUGACUUCUUCUUCUUCCUUUGGAGCUUCGACUGCAACUUCUGGUUCUGGUGCCUGUGUCUCACCAGACUCGGUAGCCUCUUUAGCUUCUUCAACAACCUGCUCUGCAGGUACUUCCUCUGGAGACUCCUCUUUUGUCUCCUCAACAACCGGCUCUGGUGUUUCCUUAGGUGUCUCCUCCUCUGUUUUCUCUACCACUGUUGGCUCUUCUGCAAGAAUCUUGGUCUCUUCUACCACCUCUUUAGUCUCAACUUCAGCUGGGGCCUCGGGGACUGGUGCCACGGCCUCUUCAGAUGCUGCAGGUGUCUCUACUUCUUCUUUUGGCUCUUCAGCUACUGCCUCUGGUGCUGCAGCGACUGCUUCUUCUGUGGCGGUCUCAAUCUUGAUUGGUUGUUCAGUUUUUUCCUCUGCAAGUGCACUCUGCGCUGACACAACCUGCAGGAUAACCAGAUGAUCAAAGAAUGUUCACCAAAAUGCCGAUGCUAUCUAUUUUUCAAGAACUGUUACUUGAAGUGUCACAGUGAUAAGGAAAAAUGUUCACCAAAAUGCUGACGGGGUUUUACCUUUUGUUAUAUAUAUAUAUAUAUAUAUAUAUAUAUAUAUAGAGAGAGAGAGAGAGAGAGAGAGAGAGAUGAGGAUUAUGAGUUUUCAAAUAUGAUUAUCCAAGAAGUAAAGAUCAUAAAAUUGAUCAAGAUUUUUCAAAUUUUAACACUUGAUAUGUAUCAAAUGACUAAGAAGAAGCAUCUGUUAAAUAAGUUUCUCAACAGGGACAUUAAUUGAUUAAUAGUGAAUGAGUUACCUCGACAGUGGCCAUUGGAACUGAAAGGAAAAUAAAGCAAAUGGGAUACAAAGAAAACUGUAAGAAGCAAAAUAGAAAGGAGUGAUUAUCACACAAGAAGACGAGGAAAGAUUGCUUUGAGU
rnacentral:lncRNA from 1 species